UACGUAGGGGGCGAGCGUUGUCCGGAUUCAUUGGGCGUAAAGCGCGCGUAGGCGGCCACGCAAGUCGGGUGUGAAAUCCCGGAGCUCAACUCCGGAACUGCACUCGAAACUGCGCGGCUUGAGGUAGGUAGGGGAGAUCGGAAUUCCUGGUGUAGCGGUGGAAUGCGCAGAUAUCAGGAGGAACACCGGUGGCGAAGGCGGAUCUCUGGGCCGAUACUGACGCUGAGGAGCGAAAGCGUGGGGAGCGAACAGG
rnacentral:rRNA from 1 species